GCAGCAGAGCAUCUCAUGUCCGUUUUCCCCUGCUCCACACUCCAGCCCACUGCAGGAGCGAUUGCGGGUGUUUUUUCCUGAAGAGGAUUAAGGAGCACAGUCUCGACGGAAAAGAAGGAGAGAGCAGGUAAACAGAGGUGCAAAGUCAUCAUCUCUAAGAAACACCCAAGAAAUAAGUACAGGAAAAUGGGGAUCAAUAACACUCACUCACUUCAGCAAAGCACCUUGAGGUCAGCCUGUGAGAGAUGCUGGAGGAGUGGGGACUAUCAUUCAUUGGUGUGGACUUGCAGCCCACUGCCUACUCCAUGGAACCUAAGCCACAGCUGGUAAACACAGCAUCAAAUGUGAUUUCUUUGGCAUUCUUCUCUAAAGCAUUGCCAGCCUUCCUUCAUGUAUAUUGUUUGCAGUGACCUUCUGUGCUUUGUCUUUGUUCAUAUACCAGCUCAGACAGGGCUGGUUUUAUUAUCCAGCAGGGCCCCUGGUGUGAACACGAGCAUCUAGAACGGUGCUGAUGGUUGGUAGGACAUUAGAGUACACCAUAGCAGACCCUGAUCCAUGUACAAUAAAGGGACCUAAGUAAAAGUGCUGGGCAGAUGGCUGACUGCAAGUGCCUGACUUUGAUGUUGCAACAACUUCUCCCUCUUUAUGGCAUAAAAAGGCACAGUCUGGUAGUCCUAAAUACUAGGCAAUGAAUCACCUACUUAAUGACUGUAAUAGGCAGCCAGAACACAGUCCACAGCCUUUUGGGGUCUGUCCAGUGUCUACUUGCCUGUCUGUAAGCACACAUCUAAAAAUAAUAAUUGACCCCUGAUUCAUAGGGUCAGUACUUUUACAUACCUACAUUUUUAUGAUGAAAAAGGAAAAGUGUUUUCUUCAUGGGGUUUAAUUUACAAAUUAAACUGGAAAAUUGUUGAACUGGUGUUACA